UCUGAGGCUCCUGAAUAGAGUCAAGUCAGCUGGCCAAAAUUGAGACUUUCGCUUAAACUCACACCAACAUGUUUAAAAAGUACUUUUUAAAACCAAUGAAAUGUAUUUUGUUCCCCAAAUCACAAAGAAAGCAAGAGUAGAGUUCCCAUAAAAUGUAAAUGAAAGUUGAAAAAAAAAAAAAAAAACAGAAAAUGUGAGAUAAUAUUUUCUUUCUUCUAUGCCCACCACUUGCAUUUCACUUCAUAGACAGGGAGAAGUUUUUCUCAGAAAUACUUGAAUAUUUUGAGCUGCACAGAGCCCCCAUCUUUCCAUGUCUCUGGUGUCCUCGGCUUGAUGGAACGGUCGUGGUUAAUGGUAAACAGGACAAGAGAGGCCUGGAGCUACAGCUUCAGAAGUGAAACAGAUGAGACUUGAUUCAUCGUUAUCUGCAAUGAAAGGCAAUCCAAAGUAAUAAAAAGCAAUGUGAAAAGUUUUCAAUUUACCUCUAUAUUCCAGAUUUUCAACCAUCCAUCAGCAUCUCCUGUGGUGAGGAAGUCCUGUGGUACUGCUCUUCAUGGAGAACAAAGAAAAGCCCAAAAAGUAAGGCUAAGUCUGAUCAAAUUUGUCCUGCUGAGGAGCAAGGCCGCAAUACCUAGACCACUGCUCGCAGGUGCUCAGUGGGGACAGCUCCCUGACGAGUGUCAAUGACAAGUGAAGAUCAGAAGAGAAGAGAUGAGUUUGGAUGUAUUAAUACAAAAGGUGACUUUCUUGUGAUUUGGGGAGAGGAAAGAGAAAUAUAUAUUAAACUCUGUAUUGUCCUGGAAAGAGCAAUUUAUUAACUCACAAAUUGGCCAAGGGAGAUGAAAUUCACCUGUUCAUGGGAGUAUCCAUUUUCUCUAUGAUUUUGAAAUGCUUUAUUUACAAAAUGCUCGACCAAACAUUUUCACAUAGGACUGAUGAGAUCAGAAUAAAUGAAAAGAUUAUCCAUCAAUACAAUAGUGUUUUAUGACACUUUCGCAGUAAGAACCACACAACUUUAUAGUUCAUUCUCUCCAUCACAUUUCAAUGUGAUCCUCCCUGCAGGGGCGGAAUUUCAGUGUUUGUAAAGCAAAUUCAGCUACAGAGCUGGCCCUAACAGACAGUAAUCAGGGAAGUCCUGGAAACAGUGGAGCUACAAAUGUAAAUAGAUCAGUAAGCCUCAUUUUGUAACAUUUCAUAGAUAUCCUGGCUCUUUUCCUGUAA